CUUAAUUUCCGCCUCUCCUUGAACUUAUCAGGUGAAGCAUGGAGAAUUAUCACCUGAAUCUCCAAUUCCUCUUGCUCUUACUGUGGAUCAUCAAUUCUGUGCCUUGGAAUAUAGAAAUGUGUUUUGAUAUUAACUUUUUGAACUGAGAUCUCUAUUGGAUGGGUUUUAUCAUUGAUUUUGGUGCUGAUUUAAGGGUCAAAGGUUCCUGGAGAUGAUUGCAUGUCUAGGUAUACUUCGAUCUUCUUCUCCUCACUUUAUGCUUAUUCAUCACUCUUACUCCCUUUUGUUGAUAGUUGUAGUGUGGAUGGAGAUACAGAGAUGCUCGAACCCACAAAACUAUUAGAUUACCUUUUGUGCCCAGGUGUCUUAGAUACUUAGACAUCAUUGACCUUUCUCCUUCUUAAGAGUCCUUUUUGAUGGUUAAAUUUGUAUAGGUUAGACAAAUUUGGUUAUAAGUGUUGGCCUCCUAGAUUAUAAAUAGAUGUUUGUAGUCUUUGGUAGUAUCUAUGGCCUUAAGCCUUCUCAUGAUUUUACUACUGAUAAUCUAAUGUAAGGGCACUGUAGUUUGUCACUAUUUAAGAUCUUCUUCCCCUGUAUUUCCAACUGCUAAAAUAAAGUUAUACUAAAAUUUUCUUUUCUAUUGCUGCA